rnacentral:rRNA from 1 species
CCAAUAGCGUAUAUUAAAGUUGUUGCAGUUAAAAAGCUCGUAGUUGAAUUUCGGGAUUGACGUGAUGGUCAUGCCUUAAGGGGUAUGAACUGUUACUGUUGAUUUCUCACCUUCUGGAGAAACUUGAUGUCCUUUAUUGGGUGUCUUGCGGAUCCAGGACCUUUACCUUGAAAAAAUUAGAGUGUUUAAAGCAGGCAUUUUUGCUCGAAUACAUUAGCAUGGAAUAAUAGAAUAGGACGGAAUGGUUCUAUUUUGUUGGUUUCUAGGAUCACCGUAAUGAUUAAUAGGGAUAGUUGGGGGCAUUAGUAUUCAAUUGUCAGAGGUGAAAUUCUUGGAUUUAUUGAAGACUAACUACUGCGAAAGCAUUUGCCAAGGAUGUUUUCAUUAAUCAAGAACGAAAGUUAGGGGAUCGAAGACGAUCAGAUACCGUCGUAGUCUUAACCAUAAACUAUGCCGACUAGGAAUCAGACGAUGUUAAUUUUUUAAUGACUCGUUUGGCACCUUACG